rnacentral:rRNA from 1 species
GAUGAACGCUGGCGGCGUGCCUAAUACAUGCAAGUCGAGCGAACAGACGAGGAGCUUGCUCCUCUGACGUUAGCGGCGGACGGGUGAGUAACACGUGGAUAACCUACCUAUAAGACUGGGAUAACUUCGGGAAACCGGAGCUAAUACCGGAUAAUAUAUUGAACCGCAUGGUUCAAUAGUGAAAGACGGUUUUGCUGUCACUUAUAGAUGGAUCCGCGCCGCAUUAGCUAGUUGGUAAGGUAACGGCUUACCAAGGCAACGAUGCGUAGCCGACCUGAGAGGGUGGUCGGCCACACUGGAACUGAGGCGCGGUCCAGACGCCUACGGGGGGCAGCAGUAGGGAAUCUUCCGCAAUGGGCGAAGGCCUGACGGAGCAACGCCGCGUGAGGGAUGAAGGUCUUCGGAUCGUAAAACUCUGUUAUUAGGGAAGAACAAAUGUGUAAGUAACUAUGCACGUCUUGACGGUACCUAAUCAGAAAGCCACGGCUAACUACGUG